rnacentral:rRNA from 1 species
UACGUAGGGUGCAAGCGUUGUCCGGAAUCAUUGGGCGUAAAGGGCUCGUAGGCGGCCAACUAAGUCAUACGUGAAAUCCCUCGGCUUAACCGGGGAACUGCGUCUGAUACUGGAUGGCUUGAGUUCGGGAGAGGGAUGCGGAAUUCUGGUGUAGCGGUGAAAUGCGCAGAUAUCAGGAGGAACACCGGUGGCGAAGGCGGAUCUCUGGGCCAUUACUGACGCUGAGGAGCGAAAGCGUGGGAGCGAACAGG